UAUGAUUCCUAUGAAUAGGGGCUGCUUGUGGAGUAUAUUUGGAAUAUAUGUAACAUAGUGUGUUUGGUGGUUUCUGUAUGUGUGUGGCUGCUUGUAGUAUUGCAUGUGAGUGGUUUCUUGUCGGGUUGUGUGCGUGUAUGUGGAUUGUCAGUUGUAUUGUGCUUGUGGGGACUGUGUGUGGACUGUUUAUAUUGUAUGAGCGGGAGGCUUUCUUUUGCAGCUCUGUGUAUAGCUAGCAGUGUGGGUGGCUUCUCUGGGGUCCAAUGGGGACCCGGCUGGCCAGGUACAGGUAAAGGGCAGGAGUUACAAUACCUGCUGUGGGCUGCUCUACUCCAGUCGGAUUUCCAUCCACAAGUGCUGGGAGGAGGUAAUCUGAGAUGCUGUAAUGUGUUAAUUGAGGACUGCCCCUCACUACCUGCAAUCUCCACUCAAAUUGGACUAGCAGAUUUCUGAAGUUCCACUGGAACUCCUGAUAGGCCAGAACAUGUUUGUCUCUGGCAGGCUCGAG